CGAAAUCGGUAGACGCUACGGACUUAGUAAAAGGAAAAUCCGUCGACUUUAGAAAUCG
rnacentral:tRNA from 1 species